UUAGAACGUCUCAGCCGAGAAGGGCUUUCCAGACAUGUGCUCCCUCCUUCCCUUAAUACCCCUUUGCUGCUGGUAGGGAAACUGGGGAAAGAAGCCCCUUCCUCAAGAGUCAGGGGCGGGAUGCGAGAGGAACCCAGGCCUCCUGCCCCUCCUCUCCUCUCUGCUCCCAUAAUGGGGUAGAGCUCACCCAAUCCAGCUGGAGGAAAGCUCCAGACAAAUUCAAGAGGCCCCCACAGCUACACGGUCCUGGUCCCUCCAGUAAUGGAUGGAAAAUCAGCGAUUUCCUGACAGUUAGCAACCAAUUUUCCACCAAUUAGAAGAGAGAUGGUGGUCUCUGGAGGCAGCUGGAUGGCGGCGUUGCACGGAACUGGAAGGAAGAGAGAUGAUCCUCAGAAGCACCAGGCAUGGAGCUCGGCCCCGUGAGGACCACCACGCUACAUCUUUGGAUGGGAGUUCGCUGGCCCUCCCCCUCCUCACCCCAGCCCCCGAGGGAAGCGCUGCAGUCCUCUCCUCUCCAGGCUGGUCUCUCAUCCCUCCACCACCACCAACCUCC